CCGCCCUUAGCUCAGUUGGAUAGAGUGUCGGCCUCCGAAGCCGAAAGCCGCAAGUUCGAUUCUUGCAGGGCGGA
rnacentral:tRNA from 1 species